UCAAAGAAAAAGAUUUCUUCAAAUAUUUUGGAUGUUACAUUUGAAUAAAAAUGUUUCCAGAAAUCCAAAUAUGACGACGAAAAUCUAAAAAGGCAAAAUUAGUUUCAUAACUUACAAUCCCAAUAAGCCCACCAAAUAGGGAAUCCGUAUUUGUAUUAUCAGACGCACGUACAGGAUACAUAUAUGCUAUGCUUCCCUACUACAGAAACGUUAGUAUAGAAUGUAUCAUACGUCUAGACCUCCCUGUAAGUUCAAGGAUUGUUUUACAACUAUAUCAAAAGUUAUUGAACGCAAAUUCUGAGGUAAAGGAAUAUCAUAUCUUUAUAGAUAGAUAUUUUGCAAGAGUUUAAAACUAAGGUGUUAUUUACCUGGUACCGUUAAAAAAAAUAUAUUCUAGAUAUGAUUAAACAAUCAGCUGUAACAAAAAAUAAUAUAAUGUUACUAUCUAAUCUUUAUCUAUCUAUAAAUAUUAUAUAUAAUGUUCUAUCAGGUGAUAUUUUAUUAUUAGCAUGAAAGGAUAAGAAAAUAGUUACCAUAUUAAGCAGCUACGAUACCUCGAAUAUGAAAGCUAUACAAA
rnacentral:lncRNA from 1 species